GCUAAAUAGCUAGCUUAAUCACUAAGACUAACUCAAAAACAUAAAUAACCAACAAUUAACUUACAGUCAACAAAUUAAACCAUUUUAUUAUCUUAGUAUGGGAGACAGAAAAGAUUAUAAAUUUUAAGCAAUAGAAAAAGUACCGCAAGGGAACGCUGAAAGAGAAAUGAAAUAACCCGUAAAAGCACUAAAAAGCAAAGAUUAAGUCUUGUACCUUUUGCAUCAUGAUUUAGUCAACAUAAUUAAGCAAAGAGACCUUUAGUUUAAAACCCCGAAUCCAGGUGAGCUACCCCGAGACAGCCUAUUUAACUUAGGGCCAACCCGUCUCUGUGGCAAUAGAGUGGGAAGAACUCCGGGUAGAAGUGAUAUACCUAUCGAACCUGGCAAUAGCUGGUUGUCUGAGAAAUGAAUAAAAGUUCAGCUUCGUACACCCCAAAUUAAACACAAAUUAACCCAACUAAAAAUAAAAUCAAGAGAAAAAUACGAAAGUUAGUUAAAGAGGGUACAGCCCCUUUAACAAAGGACACAACCUUAUCAGGAGAAUAAAGAUCAUAGUUUAAAAAACAAAUUGUUCUAGUGGGCCUAAAAGCAGCCACCUAAGUAGAAAGCGUUAAAGCUCAAACAAAGCAAAAGUUCAUAAUACUGAUAAUAAAAUCUUAAUUCCCUAAAAUUACCAGACUAUUCCAUACAAAUAUGGAAGAAAUUAUGCUAGAAUGAGUAACAAGAAGAACCCGCCCUUCUCCUAGCACAAGUGUAAGCCAAGUUGGACAAACCAUUGGCAAUUAACGAACCCAACUAAAGAGGGCAAUGUGAACUAAAAACUAAGAAAACCCCACAAUAGAAAUCGUUAACCCCACACUGGAGUGCAUAAAAGGAAAGACUAAAAGAAAGGGAAGGAACUCGGCAAACACAAGCCUCGCCUGUUUACCAAAAACAUCGCCUCCUGACAAACCAAACAUAGGAGGUCCAGCCUGCCCAGUGACAAUAGUUUAACGGCCGCGGUAUUUUGACCGUGCAAAGGUAGCGCAAUCACUCGUCCUUUAAAUAGGGACCUGUAUGAAUGGCUAAACGAGGGCUUAACUGUCUCCCCCCUCUAGUCAGUGAAAUUGAUCUAUCCGUGCAGAAGCGGAUAUAAUAAUACAAGACGAGAAGACCCUUUGGAGCUUAAGGUACAAGAUUUAAAUCACAUUCAAGCAAGCCAAUAAAAGCAACUAACCCAUUGAACGAUAAACCUUUACCUUCGGUUGGGGCGACCACGGAGUAAAAGAAAACCUCCAAGAGGAGCGGGUAAAACCCUAAAACUAAGAGAAACAUCUCUAAGCCUCAGAACAUCUGACCGCAAAUGAUCCGGCCUUUAAGCCGAUCAACGAACCAAGUUACCCUAGGGAUAACAGCGCAAUCCUCUCUAAGAGUCCAUAUCGACGAGGGGGUUUACGACCUCGAUGUUGGAUCAGGACAUCCUAAUGGUGCAGCCGCUAUUAAGGGUUCGUUUGUUCAACGAUUAACAGUCCUACGUGAUCUGAGUUCAGACCGGAGCAAUCCAGGUCAGUUUCUAUCUGUAAAGCUAUUUUUUCCUAGUACGAAAGGAUCGGAAAAAGGGGGCCCAUACUAAAAGCACGCCCCACCCUAAAUUUAUGAAUAAAAAUAAACAAGAUAAAAGGAGAGCUAAAACCUCUUAACCCAAAAUAAGAGCUA
rnacentral:rRNA from 1 species